rnacentral:miRNA from 1 species
UGGAGAGAAAGGCAGUCCCUGA